CUACGGGUGGCUCCAGUUAGGGAUAUUCGGCAAUGGGGGAAACCCUGACCGAGCAAUGCCGCGUGAAUGAAGAAGUAUUUCGAUAUGUAAAGUUCUGUUGUUAAGGAAGAAAGGUACGAAUAGGAAAUGAUUCGUAAUUGACGGUACUUAACCAGAAAGCCCCUGCUAACUACGUGCCAGCAGCAGCGGUAAUACGUAGUGGGCGAGCGUUAUCCGGAAUUAUUGGGCGUAAAGGGUGCGUAGGCGGCCUGUCAAGUCCGAGUUGAAAGCCCACGGCUUAACCGUGGAGGGUGCUCGGAAACUGAUAGGCUUGAAUCCAGAAGAGGCAAGUGGAAUUCUAUGUGGAGCGGUGGAAUGCGUAGAUAUAUGGAGGAACACCAGUGGCGAAGGCGACUUGCUGGGCUGGUAUUGACGCUGAUGCACGAAAGCGUGGGGAGCAAACAGGAUUAGAUACCCCCGUAGUC
rnacentral:rRNA from 1 species